UCCCUGGCAGUCCAGUGGUUAGGACUCUGCACUUCCACUGCAGGUGACCUGAGUUCUAUCCCUGAUCAGGGAA
rnacentral:tRNA from 1 species